CCGCUCUCAAAGUGGCUGUGAAAUGCGUCCUUUUUCCGGGGGGGAGGCUCUAUCCUAUUCGCAUAUCACAGCCAGCUUUGAAGAGCGUCA
rnacentral:pre_miRNA from 2 species